ACAUAUAUGGUGGGAAUCGGGACGAUUGUCGAGCGUGAACAAUCCUUUACACAAACGUUAUAGCAAUGGCCAACGAUGCUGCUAGUUCUCCUGUCUCCUCAGUAUCCGGGAACUGGAGCUCGAGACCCCUACCGCCCGGGGCUCUGACCGAUACCCUCUGACAGGAUCUUCCAUUGAACCGGGGCUGAGAUACUGCCUAACAUCUACAGGAAGGGGAGAGAAGAUGGCGGCGCAACGACAGUGCGCGCGGCCACUUCGGUGAUGAAUAUCUGUUAUUUGUCAAGUAGGGGACCGUGCACAAUCCUCAUUAAAUGGAGACAGACGUGAGAGCACAGCAGAACAUCUGGAAAACUUCUGAAAUGCCUGCUUUGCUACUGUGUGGUAACCGGAAUCUCCGGAGCUGAAGGCCCCGAAAUCCUCGGCUUUGCGUGUUUCAGCGGCCGGGAAGAGGUCGAAGGCGUUCGGCAGAGGAUAGCGCUUGGGAGGCUGUAUCGGAGAGGCUGCUGGGAAGCUCGGAUUUUUCAGACGGAUGGAGUCAGGGUCGGUUGUGGUCAGCUUCUUCCAAGGUAUCGGCAAGUUGACGGUGCCUGGAGGUUUAUGGCAGGGAGUUUCUCCCUUGUGCCGCCUGCUAUCGGGGACUCGGGAAUCGAUCGACUCGGGACUUUGAGAAUUUUUUUACUGUGCCUAUGGUCUGUUCUUUAUCAAAUUAUGGUAUUGCUUUGCACUGCUGUAACUAUAUGUUAUAAUUAUGUGGUUCUGUCAGUGUUAGUCUUUGGUCUGUCUUGUUUUCUGUGAUAUCACUCCGGAGAAACAUUGUAUCAUUUCUCAACGCAUGUAUGUAUUUCUAAAUGACAAUAAAAGAGGACUGAGUGUUCUCAUAAUCUAAUCUAA